rnacentral:rRNA from 1 species
UACGUAGGAGACGAGCGUUGUCCGGAGUUACUGGGCGUAAAGGGCGCGCAGGCGGCCUGGCAGGUGAGUGGUGAAAGCUCCCGGCUUAACUGGGAGAGGUCCAUUCACACCAUCGGGCUUGAGCGUCGGAGAGGGGCAUGGAAUUCCGGGUGGAGCGGUGAAAUGCGUAGAGAUCCGGAGGAACACCAAUGGCGAAGGCGGUUCUCUGGGCCUUACCUGACGCUGAGGAGCGAAAGUGUGGGGAGCGAACAGG